rnacentral:rRNA from 1 species
CCUACGGGUGGCAGCAGUGGGGAAUAUUGCGCAAUGGGCGAAAGCCUGACGCAGCGACGCCGCGUGAGGGAUGAAGGUCUUCGGAUCGUAAACCUCUGUCAGCAGGGAAGAACGGUCACUGUGCUAAUCAGCAGUGAAUUGACGGUACCUGCAAAGGAAGCACCGGCUAACUCCGUGCCAGCAGCUGCGGUAAUACGGAGGGUGCGAGCGUUAAUCGGAAUUACUGGGCGUAAAGCGCGCGUAGGCGGUAUGUCAAGUCAAGGGUGAAAUCCCCGCGCUCAACGUGGGAACUGCCUUUGAAACUGGCAAACUGGAGUGUGUGAGAGGAUAGUGGAAUUCCAGGUGUAGGGGUGAAAUGCGUAGAUAUCUGGAGGAACAUCAGUGGCGAAGGCGACUAUCUGGCACAUAACUGACGCUGAGGAGCGAAAGCGUGGGUAGCAAACAGGAUUAGAUACCCCUGUAGUC